rnacentral:rRNA from 2 species
AUGAACGCUAGCUACAGGCUUAACACAUGCAAGUCGAGGGGCAGCGGUAUCGAAAGCUUGCUUUCGGUAGCCGGCGACCGGCGCACGGGUGAGUAACGCGUAUCGAACCUGCCUCAUACUCGGGAAUAGCCUUGCGAAAGUAAGAUUAAUGCCCGGUGUUUUCAGAGUCCCGCAUGAGGCUUUGAACAAAGAUUUAUCGGUAUGAGAUGGCGAUGCGUCCCAUUAGCUUGUUGGCGGGGUAACGGCCCACCAAGGCAUCGAUGGGUAGGGGUUCUGAGAGGAAGGUCCCCCACAUUGGAACUGAGACACGGUCCAAACUCCUACGGGAGGCAGCAGUGAGGAAUAUUGGUCAAUGGGCGGAAGCCUGAACCAGCCAAGUAGCGUGCAGGAAGACGGCCCUCCGGGUUGUAAACUGCUUUUAGUUGGGAAUAAAACGGGGCUCGUGAGCCCCCUUGCAUGUACCAUCAGAAAAAGGACCGGCUAAUUCCGUGCCAGCAGCCGCGGUAAUACGGAAGGUCCGGGCGUUAUCCGGAUUUAUUGGGUUUAAAGGGAGCGCAGGCGGACCUUUAAGUCAGCUGUGAAAUACGGCGGCUCAACCGUCGAACUGCAGUUGAUACUGGAGGUCUUGAGUGCACACAGGGAUGCUGGAAUUCAUGGUGUAGCGGUGAAAUGCUCAGAUAUCAUGAAGAACUCCGAUCGCGAAGGCAGGCAUCCGGGGUGCAACUGACGCUGAGGCUCGAAAGUGCGGGUAUCAAACAGGAUUAGAUACCCUGGUAGUCCGCACAGUAAACGAUGAAUACUCGCGGUUUGCGAUACAUUGUAAGCCGCCAAGCGAAAGCGUUAAGUAUUCCACCUGGGGAGUACGCCGGCAACGGUGCAA